GACGUAGGGCGCGAGCGUUGUCCGGAUUUAUUGGGCGUAAAGAGCUCGUAGGCGGCUUGUUGCGUCGGCUGUGAAAUCCCGUGGCUUAACUGCGGGCCUGCAGCUGAUACGGGCGGGCUGGAGUUCGGUAGGGGAGACUGGAAUUCCUGGUGUAGCGGUGAAAUGCGUAGAUAUCAGGAGGAACACCGGUGGUGUAGACGGCUUUCUGGACCGUAACUGACGCUGAGACACGAAAGCGUGGGUAGCAAACAGG
rnacentral:rRNA from 1 species